rnacentral:rRNA from 1 species
ACGGGGCCCGCACAAGCGGUGGAGCAUGUGGUUAAUUCGACGCAACGCGAAGAACCUUACCAGGGCUUGACAUCCCCUGACCGCGUAUGAAAGUACGUUUUCACCCUCGGGUGACAGGGAGACAGGUGGUGCAUGGUUGUCGUCAGCUCGUGUCGUGAGAUGUUGGGUUAAGUCCCGCAACGAGCGCAACCCCUACGUUUAGUUGCUAAUAGGUGAAGCUGAGCACUCUAGACGAACUGCCGUUGACAAAACGGAGGAAGGUGGGGAUGACGUCAAAUCAUCAUGCCCCUUAUGACCUGGGCUACACACGUGCUACAAUGGUUGGUACAACGAGUUGCGAGUCGGUGACGGCGAGCUAAUCUCUUAAAGCCAAUCUCAGUUCGGAUUGUAGGCUGCAACUCGCCUACAUGAAGUCGGAAUCGCUAGUAAUCGCGGAUCAGCACGCCGCGGUGAAUACGUUCCCGGGCCUU